ACUAUUUUAGCCUCACUAAUCUCUGGAGAGUAAUGAACUGGAUCACCCACUGGAAGAGUAGCAAAACAGCUGCUACAUUUCAUGUUCUUUUCUUGACUUGGUUUAUAUGCAGAACACUUUUGAAGUGGAAAGAUUGAUAGAGUUACACACAGCUGUGAAGAGACUCCCAAAAGAUACAUUACAUUAAUCUCAACACGGGAGAAGAAAAAAACUACCGCACUUCGUAACACAGGAACAUAUUUAGCUCUUUAAAACCAAGAGAGAGAGCAUUGACUGACUAUCAACUGGAUUGAGGAAGAAGACUUCUCAACCGAAUCUGAUUGAACUCACUUCUGAUACUUGAAUUGUUUGCACAAAACCAUGCUUCAUGGAACUCUCUUGCACGCCGUGUGUUUGCCUGGGCCAUGACUUUCUGAGAUGUAGAAAAUGAUGCAAGUUCUCCAGCAGAACUUCAAUAUCUGAACUAUGCACCGUAGAAAGCAUUCUUCCAGGGUGCAUCACAACCUGGUAUGGAAGUUGUCCUGUCCAAGACCGGAAGAAGCUGCAGAAGAUUGUGAACAUGGCGCAGCACAUCACACAAACCAAUCUACCGUCCUUGGACUC